CGAAUGCGCCGUUUGUACGUUGUGUCAUAAACAUGGAUCCCUUGCGUCAAUUGUAUAACUUGUGUUACAUUACUAAUUGUAUAACGAAGCAAUCGAAUUGCUUGUUUUUGAUGUAAUCGUGUGUAAAUUUUAAGACAUCGAUUAAUUUACCGUGGAAAGUGUAAGUUGGAGAAAUCAAAGUAACCGCGAAAGUGUGUUACUGAAUCGAGUGGUUCGAGAAAAUACAUGUUCGAAGUUGUGCGAGCAUAAUCAGGUUAGCUGAUCAACCGAUGCUUAGUGGCUGAUAUGUAUUCACUGGGAUAAUUCAUUGUCAAGCAAUUGGUGUGUGCAAUAAGCGUCCACAGCAUCGGAGUUUGUCAAAGUCCGAAAUACGGAAAUCCAGUCAGAUCGAUGGAUGGUUCGCGAAAGUCAGGUUGGAUGGCGAAUCUUCUCGAUGAUGGAACGACGUCGUGACAAAUAUUUUGGAUGGAAUAACGUACUGUCGACUUCAGUUUUGCUUGACGAGCCGAGAUUCCCUCUCACCUUACCUGUACCAUCAUUCUUGCCACGCAAAUCGUGUAAACGGAUCGACAAAGGAAGAUGUUUCAAGAACCGAUCAAACACGAUCCACCAAUGUAUUAACACCGAAUGGUGAACGCUGAAUACACUGUACGUACUAUGUACUAACCUAGCCGAACGUGCCAUAAGUGUUAUUUCGAGAGCACACUGACGUCUAAUAGCAUUACCAGAGAAUCGGACGUGGGUGGCGCAGUAACCGCGACAGUCUCGUAAUCCUGAUUAAGGGCCGGGCUUGAGGAGCCGUGUUUCUUGAGGAUUGGCUGCGAGGUCGCUUGGUCCCUCAUGCUGGCGGUUCUUUGCGGUUUCGAGGGUGCCAACGAGCUGCGCACCUCACCUGUAACAUCCUCCGCUGCUGCAGGCACGUCCGCCAUCGUCAAGCGCCAUGGGUUAGUACCACAAGACACAAGGCAUGUCACAAAACAGGCUAGCUAGCGUACUAGCGUGCUAGGAGAGACGGAAUUAUCGUUCCCGGCUAAAACACUAGAGACGCGCUAGCACGUACAUACGUAUGUGUAUAUCUAUGCAGAAAUGGACUGUUGUUGCGAGAGGACGAGGGCAAAGCGACAAAUCAGACACGUUGAUGAAUCACUCGAGGUCGUCGUAUCGACGAUUUCGGAUCGCUCUUCCGCUCGUCGGUGUUUCAAUCGUGAAUCAUUUUUUUCGAUAAAAUUCUUACGAAUACGACUACAGCGACUCCAUUUCCCCACAAUUGUUUCAUAUCGGAAAAAUUCAUCCAUCUUCGAGGUUUAAAUCAACUUUGUACCUGGCAGAUCCAUUCUCGCGGCUUUAUUAUGAACAGCGUGUUUUUGGCGAAUGGAAAUCGAGAAGAUAGGAAUACG